UACGGAGGGGGCAAGCGUUGUUCGGAGUGACUGGGCGUAAAGGGCUCGUAGGUGGUUUAUCAAGUUAUCGGUCAAAAAUGAGAGCUUAACUUUCAUCCGGCCGGUAAAACUGGUAGACUAGAGUAUCGGAGAGGAAUGCGGAAUAUCUGGUGUAGCGGUGGAAUGCGCAGAUAUCAGAUGGAACACCUUUUGCGAAGGCGGCAUUCUGGUCGAUAACUGACACUGAGGAGCGAAAGCGUGGGUAGCAAACAGG
rnacentral:rRNA from 1 species